rnacentral:rRNA from 1 species
CCUACGGGAGGCAGCAGUGAGGAAUAUUGGUCAAUGGCCGGAAGGCUGAACCAGCCAAGCCGCGUGAAGGACGAAGGUGCCAAGCAUUGUAAACUUCUUUUGUCAAGGGACAAAAUCAGGCUCGAGAGCCUGACCGAGGGUACUUGAAGAAAAAGCAUCGGCUAACUCCGUGCCAGCAGCGGCGGUAAUACGGAGGAUGAGAGCGUUAUCCGGAUUUAUUGGGUUUAAGGGGUGCGUAGGCGGGCUGUUAAGUCAGCGGUAAAAGCCCGGGGCUCAAACCCGGCGAGCCGUUGAAACUGGCUGUCGUGAGAUGGCGAGAGGUAUGCGGAAUGCGCAGUGUAGCGGUGAAAUGCUUAGAUAUUGCGCAGAACUCCGAUUGCGAAGGCAGCAUACCGGCGGCGAUCUGACGCUGAGGCACGAAAGCGUGGGUAUCGAACAGGAUUAGAUACCCUUGUAGUC